ensembl:lncRNA
GAAGCCAGGCAGCAGCAGGGGAAGCAUGUGCUGUGAAUGCUACUACCAGUUACUUUCUCCCUGGAGAGAGAAAAAAAGAAGUCGAUGAUCACUUUUAGCUCAGUCUUUGCCCUAACCUGAAAAUGUAUUUAAUCUUUUUUUUUUUUUUUUUUUUGUCUUUGUCUUUGAAGAAGGAGGUUGGAGUUGGAUCCCAGAUCACCUACUGAAAGCUAUAGCUGUAGUCACACGGGUUAGUCUGCAGUCUGGAGAGCAGCCUGGCUUCUGCUUGUGAGUCUGGUGGAAGCUCUGGAGAGAAGUCCGUACUGAGGUCCUGUGGAAAUGUAUAGGGAGCAUUACUUUCAGAGCAACCUAUAUGGACAGAAGAGGAAGGCAAUGGAGUAUUGGUACUGGAAUAUCAUCUGCCACUUUGGAGAAUUUAGCACUUAUUGAAAAAAAUUAAGGAUCGCAGUGAUACCGUUGUUAACAGAAACAGUUACAGUACAUUGAGUUGGAAAGUGUACACCUGGAAAUACCAACAAAGGCACGGACAAGGUGUGAAAUAACAUUUCAGCUGAUUUUAUGCACUGUAUUAACUCGAUUUCAGUUGAAAAACCUGUUACAUCAUCUGAAGAUGGG